UCCAUCCUUCUCAGUUGGCACAAGUUCUACAGAGCUCAGGGAACAUCAAUAAUACAGACACAGUCAGGCUCGUAUUUGACCGGCUCGAGCAGGGCGAUGGCUUUGAAAAUGUGGAGGUUUUGCUCACUGAACUCUCAGAAAAUGCACCGAAUAUUGUGAUUGAAUCCAGUGCAAGAGAUCUCGCAAUGAAUCGGACCUUUGACCUCAUCGCGCCCCGUCUUCCAAGCUUCAGUGAAAAUGAGUGGAACCGGUGGUUCCUCGAUUUGCUAAGACCUUGUCUGGCAAGCUUCAACCCGUUGAUGCUCAUGAAUGUAACAUCGUUCAUAAACUGCACAAACUAUCGUGCUGUUGUGAGGGGGCUGAGCCAUGUUUACUCCACAACACCUCCGGAAAGACAA